GACGUAGGGGGCAAGCGUUAUUCGGAAUUAUUGGGCGUAAAGCGCUCGUAGGCGGGAUGGAAAGUCUGUGAAGAGAGACCUGGGCUCAACUCAGGGAACGGCACGGAUACUUCCAUUCUUGAGGCAAUCAGAGGGUGAUGGAAUUCCCGGUGUAGCGGUGAAAUGCGUAGAUAUCGGGAGGAACGCCAGUGGCGAAGGCGAUCACCUGGGGUUGUUCUGACGCUGAGGAGCGAAAGCUAGGGGAGCAAACGGG
rnacentral:rRNA from 1 species